rnacentral:rRNA from 1 species
CCCAGACUCCUACGGGAGGCAGCAGUGGGGAAUAUUGCACAAUGGGGGGAACCCUGAUGCAGCAACGCCGCGUGGGUGAAGAAGUACUUCGGUAUGUAAAGCCCUGUCAGCAGGGAAGAAAAUGACGGUACCUGACCAAGAAGCCCCGGCUAACUACGUGCCAGCAGCCGCGGUAAUACGUAGGGGGCAAGCGUUAUCCGGAUUUACUGGGUGUAAAGGGAGCGUAGACGGCAAGGCAAGUCUGGAGUGAAAGCCCGGGGCUCAACCACGGGACUGCUUUGGAAACUGUGUUGCUGGAGUGCAGGAGGGGUAAGCGGAAUUCCUAGUGUAGCGGUGAAAUGCGUAGAUAUUAGGAGGAACACCGGUGGCGAAGGCGGCUUACUGGACUGUAACUGACGUUGAGGCUCGAAGGCGUGGGGAGCAAACAGGAUUAGAUACCCCCGUAC